UAGGGAAUCUUCGGCAAUGGACGAAAGUCUGACCGAGCAACGCCGCGUGAGUGAAGAAGGUUUUCGGAUCGUAAAACUCUGUUGUUAGAGAAGAACAAGGACGUUAGUAACUGAACGUCCCCUGACGGUAUCUAACCAGAAAGCCACGGCUAACUACGUGCCAGCAGCCGCGGUAAUACGGAGGUGGCAAGCGUUGUCCGGAUUUAUUGGGCGUAAAGCGAGCGCAGGCGGUUUCUUAAGUCUGAUGUGAAAGCCCCCGGCUCAACCGGGGAGGGUCAUUGGAAACUGGGAGACUUGAGUGCAGAAGAGGAGAGUGGAAUUCCAUGUGUAGCGGUGAAAUGCGUAGAUAUAUGGAGGAACACCAGUGGCGAAGGCGGCUCUCUGGUCUGUAACUGACGCUGAGGCUCGAAAGCGUGGGGAGCAAACAGG
rnacentral:rRNA from 2 species